rnacentral:rRNA from 1 species
GGAGGUAGUGACAAUAAAUCACAAUGCGGGACUAUUUAGUUUUGCAAUUGAAUUGAGAACAAUGUACAAGAGUUAUCGAUAAACAAUUGGAGGGCAAGUCUGGUGCCAGCAGCCGCGGUAAUUCCAGCUCCAAUAGCGUAUAUUAACGUUGUUGCAGUUAAAAAGCUCGUAGUUGAAGUGUGGGAUAAUGUAUAUUGGAUCUUUUUGUGAAGAUAUAUGUUGUCCCCCCUCCAAUUUCGGUCUGUGGGUAUUAAUUUACUUGCAGUUCGUGUUGGUCAUUUACUGUGAGAAAAUUAGAGUGUUCAAAGCAGGCAUUUGCUUGAAUAUAUUAGCAUGGAAUAAUAUUAAAAGGCUUGUAUGGUCGAUUUAAUUGGUUUGUUCAUAUAAGCAAGAUUAAUAGGGACAGUUGGGGGUAUUCAUAUUCAAUAGUUAGAGGUGAAAUUCUCGGAUUUAUGGAAGAUGAACAAGUGCGAAAGCA